rnacentral:rRNA from 1 species
CCAAUCGCGUAUCUUAAAGUUGUUGCCGUUAAAAAGCUCGUCGUUGAACCUCGGGAUCAAUGGAUCGGUCAUGCCAUCGGUAUGUACUGGUCUCAUUGGUUCUCACCUUCUAAGGAACCAUGAUGUCAUUCAGUUGAUGUUGUGGGGAAUUAGGACUGUUACCUUGAAAAAAUUAGAGUGUUUAAAGCAGGCUAACGCUUGAAUACAUUAGCAUGGAAUAAUGAAAUAGGACAUCGCAUUCUAUUUUGUUGGUUUCUAGGAUCGAUGUAAUGAUUAAUAGGGAUAGUUGGGGGCAUUAGUAUUCAAUUGUCAGAGGUGAAAUUCUUGGAUUUAUUGAAGACUAACUACUGCGAAAGCAUUUGCCAAGGAUGUUUUCAUUAAUCAAGAACGAAAGUUAGGGGAUCGAAGACGAUCAGAUACCGUCGUAGUCUUAACCAUAAACUAUGCCGACUAGGGAUCGGAUGAUGUUGAUUUUUUAAUGACUCAUUCGGCACCUUACG